UACGUAGGGUGCAAGCGUUAAUCGGAAUUACUGGGCGUAAAGCGUGCGCAGGCGGUUCGCUAAGACAGAUGUGAAAUCCCCGGGCUUAACCUGGGAACUGCAUUUGUGACUGGCGGGCUAGAGUAUGGCAGAGGGGGGUAGAAUUCCACGUGUAGCAGUGAAAUGCGUAGAGAUGUGGAGGAAUACCGAUGGCGAAGGCAGCCCCCUGGGCCAAUACUGACGCUCAGGCGCGAUAGCGUGGGGAUCAAACAGG
rnacentral:rRNA from 1 species